rnacentral:rRNA from 1 species
GGUGGAUAUCUUGGCAGUAAGAGGCGAUGAAGGACGCGUAUUAGACUGCGAAAUGCUUCGGGGAGCCGUCAAAUAGGCUUUGAUCCGGAGGUGUCCGAAUGGGGAAACCCUGCUACUGGAGACGGUAGUAACGGCAUGGUGAGUAAAGUAGCCAUGUACGAGCGAACCGAGGGAACUGAAACAUCUAAGUACCUCGAGGAAGAUAAAUCAACCGAGAUUCCGCUAGUAGCGGCGAGCGAACGCGGACUAGGCCAAACCAGUAUGCUUGCAUGCUGGGGUUGUAGGACUUACAUCAAGGGGAAACUGGUAAGGGAACGAUCUGGGAAGGUCGACCAUAGAGAGUGAAAGUCUCGU